AUGCUGCAGCAGAAUCAUUACUAUACAAGGAAAAUCUAUCUCACCAUUGCUGAACAGCAUCAGGUAGUCAAUUGGAGGAAGUUAUGGUAUGGCAACAUGGCGAGGCCGAGAGCUCUUUGCACCCUUUGGAUGGCUUGUCAGAAUCAUCUAGCUACGAAAGAAAGACUUCAAAGGUUUGGUAUUAUUGAUAAUGAUGAGUGCUGCUUUUGCAAGGAAAAAGAAACAGUUCGCCAUCUUCUUUUUGCUUGUCCAAGGCUGAAAAAAGUUUGGAUUCAUGUCCUCAACUGGCUUGCAAGUGAAGCACAAUCCGUUGAGUUGGAACGAGGAGCUUGA